GGCCUCGUAGGUCAGCUGGUAGAGCGUACGCUGUAGAAAAAGCGUAGGCAGCGUUCAUGCGUGUGUUCGAAUCCCACCGAGGCUA
rnacentral:tRNA from 1 species